GUAAAAUUCCCAUCGAACAUUUUUCAUUUAUAUACAAAACAGAUUUUUAUAGUCCGUCAAAGAUGAAAUGGUCUCAAUGCGAUCGAUUAUUAAUUUUUACACAUUCUCGGGACAUAAAAACAAUCGUUUGACUAAUAUAGCAACCAUAACCAUGAAUUUUUCUUGGCUUAGUGAACCGUGUACACCAAUGGUUUCCAAACUUUCUGUAUUUGCACCACCUUUUUUUCAUAAAAAACUUGGUACGCCCCCAUUUUCAUCGCAGUCUAAUUUUAUACUUUCUACUUACAAUUUAAUACUACAAACCAGUAUACCAU
rnacentral:lncRNA from 1 species